ensembl:lncRNA
UACACAUUGAUAAAAACAACAGUAAAAAGGUGGAACCGUGCCUUGACUAAAAACAACCUCCCCUCGAUGAUGUGUUUGACCUCCAGAGAUACUGGCUUAGAGGACCUGGAGAAGAGGAAGCCCACUCCUCCACUGAGGUUGGUGUUGUGGCUCAGCAGGACUUCCCUCCUCCAGUCGGCCUCGUUGGUGCUGUCGCUGUGCGUCUCUUGCACGAAGAGAACAUCAAGACGUUUCAUUUUUUUAAAUUCAUAAAUAGAUGCCCUCUUCUUGGCAUCUCUGGCUCCGUUCACAUUCAGGCUUCCCACUUUUAAAGUAUCCAUGAUAAAAAUAAAUAAAAAUAAAACCAAUAAAUCAAUUAAAACACACAUUGGGGCUUUUCUCGUGAUCAUCGAUUGCUCGUUUUGCUUUUAGCACAAGUUUUUUUAGUCUAAAACCCUCUUGAUCUGUGAAGCCAGACUCCUCUCGCUGGCUCAUGCGGAGUCUGGCUGAGUUAUAAAAACACACCAGGUCUGGAAAAAC